UUGGAUAAUCAAAUUAAAAAUUUUGGGAAGUUGAAAGAGAUGUUUGUAAUUGGCCCAAUUUGCCCAGCCUACAUGAAGCAAAUAAAACAGUCCAAAUACAACAGUCCUUUUAUAAUAAAAUGGGCCCAAAACCCAAACCCAAAAUACAAAGGCCUAAAAUACAAGAACAGUGGCCUAAAUUACAGUGGCCCAAAACAGAUUCAGGAAACCUUAGGGUUUCUGUUUGCACCGCAGCCCCCUAGCCCGCACGAGCUGGAUCUCCACGCCUUCACCUGCAAGAAAUAAACACAAAGAAGGAAACAAAAUCAAAGAUUGCAGAUCAAGAAGAUAUCAAACAUGAUUUGUUUCCUUUUUUUUUAUUAUGGCUAUAAAAAGGCCAUUGAAAUAUUGUAAAGGGGAUCGGAAAAAAUCAAUAGAAAACAAUUAUUUUCACAACCAAAAAACAGAGAGUUUGAUACUGAGAGCAAAAAUCGAUCCAAAAGGUUAAGAUCCACAGUUUCUUUUAUUUUAUUUUAAAUCUACUAUUAUUAUUAUUUAUCUAUAUACGAAUAAAAUAAGUAGGAGAAAGAAAUAGACAACCUUUUUGAGCCCGGAUCGCCAUGAACAGUUGAGGUAGUCGUCUCCGAGGAUAGACGGCCGGAAACCGAAAGGUUUCUUGAGAUUUUGGGCUUUUCCAUCAGUAUUUUGGAGAUUUCGGGGCUAGAUUUAGGUUUAGGGGUUGCUAAAGGACCAGAUCUGAAGUUUUUUCUUUUUUCGGCCACCGCACACGGCGGCGCCGUCGUCGGUGACCGGUGGCCGGCAUGGCGGUCCCUUCGCCGGAUUUUGGGCCAAUGCCCGAAGAAGAAGAGGGGAGGGGAGAGUGUUUCACGGUUUUUUU
rnacentral:lncRNA from 1 species